GCAGGCUCUGACCCUGCUUUGGCUACAGACACAGGGAAUGAGUAGAAAAAAAAUCUUCUACCUGCACCAGGCAACAAAGUCCGUGCAGCUGUAAACACAAAUUGCAGCUGUUCUUUAGGGUGUCUGAUCUAUCCUCUCAAGAAGCAAAUUUCAUUUUUAAUUUGCUCUGAUGAGACUCAGAAGAUGCUGGAUAAAAUAUGAGACAUCUCAGAGAAAUGUAACUUUGGGAUUAUCUCAAAUGCACUGGCAACAUAAUUAGCAAAAAUCUUCCAGAGGAAGCCUGCAUGGAGUAUGUUAAU